AAGUGGAUUGGGGCCCACACGAGGCUGCAUAAAUAAACUAAACCCUAAACCUUGCCUGGUUGUUUAGGGCGGUUCUCGGAUACUCGUGGGGAUGUUAGGCCUGCGUUUCGCCCCCCUUUGAAUCGAAACGCAGACGCCUCUAUGAGUCUUCGUGUGGUGUAUGGGCCUGGGUUUGGGCUUGCAGGUGGUGAUUGUCGGCGUCAGGAUGACGUCACCGCCGUUCACCGUUGUCCUCGCCAACCCAACCACUCCACAAAUUUU
rnacentral:telomerase_RNA from 1 species